ensembl:lncRNA
GGAACCUUUAUGUCACAGCCUAAACUGAUGACUGAGAAUCUGGUGAAGAGGGCGGCUGGCCCAGGAAGCACAGGUGCAAGCAAUUCACCUGUGCUUCCCAGGUGACCAGAAGGGGUGGACCCUGGAUCCACCCCUCCCUGGGCUUAUUUAAGGGCCAGCCUCCAAAGGGAGAGUGUUUCUUCUAUGAAGGCUGCUUUCUGUGAGGGGGUGUUCUGUAGCUAGGGAUUCUUUCACGAGUUGGCUGCUGAAUGGAUCAGUCUUUAAAUGGGUUGCACUGUGUGAGCAGUGAAUGCAAAGAAUGCACAACUUUUGGACCCUACAGUGAAGAAGUUUAGGAUUAUCAGUCUUUUAAGUGGGAUCCAACAACUUUCCUCAGAAGAGUGGAAUACUAGAUUCAGCCAAGAAAUACUUUGAAAUGAUAUUUAACCUAAGGCUUCUAGUGAACAGAACAUGAAGGGAUAAUAUUCUCUUUCUCUCUUCUUCAAACUCAUAUGCACAUGAUUAUUGCAUUAUUUAUCCACAGCUAAAUACUGUCUACAGCUUUAUCUUUAUUCAUCCCUACUGCAGUUCAGCAGUGGAAUAUUUUUAGAUCUAUGUACUGUAUCUGCUUAGUGUUAACUUCUCUAUUUCAUUCAUCUGUAUUUUU